UUUCCGUAGGUGAACCUGCGGAGGGAUCAUUACUGAGUUUUGAAUGAACUUGUUCUGGUCUUUCGGGGCACCUGAACGCUUCUCUCACUCCAUCUUACACCUGUGCACCUAUCGGUGACGACUGGGGUCGACGUUGUGUCACGACGACGAUCUACAGUCACCUCUUUAUACCAAAUAACAGUUUUAGAAAAUCUUUUUUGCUUUAUGCAAACAUAAAUAAAUAAAACUUUCAGCAACGGAUCUCUUGGCUCUG
rnacentral:misc_RNA from 1 species